rnacentral:ncRNA from 2 species
UAACGAUUGUAUUUUAGGAGUGCCUAUUAUUUUUAGGUUAAAAGGGAAAAUGGUGAGAUGCCAUUACAGCCCCCGCUACUGUAUAAGUGUCGAAACAGUCAGAUCCAUUGGCGAAUUGCUGAGAAGGGACUGCGUUCGGAUACACUUGAGUCAGGAAACCUGCUUCUAAAAUCGGACAAAC